rnacentral:rRNA from 1 species
GCUCGAGUGGCGAACGGGUGAGUAACACGUGAGUAACCUGCCCUUGACUUUGGGAUGACUUCAGGAAACUGGGGCUAAUACCGGAUAGGAGCUCCUGCUGCAUGGUGGGGGUUGGAAAGUUUCGGCGGUUGGGGAUGGACUCGCGGCUUAUCAGCUUGUUGGUGGGGUAGUGGCUUACCAAGGCUUUGACGGGUAGCCGGCCUGAGAGGGUGACCGGCCACAUUGGGACUGAGAUACGGCCCAG